rnacentral:lncRNA from 1 species
AAAAGUGACCCCAUGUUGGGUGCAGAUGAGGGUUGGGGGCACCACGAUGCGUCUGCAGGGGGGGCUGACCCGGCUGACCCCUAUGGAUGUCUCUGUGUGGGGUGGUGGGGGGACACUGCGAUGGGUCUGACCCCAAAAUCGGUGGGGUUGGGGUUGGAGGGGGGGUUGGAGACCCCAAAGGUGGGGGUUGGGGGGGGUGGGACCCAAAAUGACCCCAUGUUAGGUGCAGAUGAGGGUUGGGGGCACCACGAUGCGUCUGCAGGGGGGGCUGAACCGGCUGACCCCUAUGGAUGUCUCUAUGUGGGGUGGUGGGGGGAUACCACGAUGGGUCUGACCCCAAAAUCAGUGGGGUUGGGGAUGGAGGGGGUCCAGAAGACCCCAAAGGUGGGGGUGGGAGCCCAACAGUGACCCCAUGUUGGGCGCAGAUGAGGGUUGGGGGCACCACGAUGAGUCUGCAGGGGGGGCUGAACCCUAUGGAUGUCUCUCUGUGGGGUGUUGGGGGGAUACCAUGGUGGGUCCGACCCCAAAAUCAUUGGGGUUGGAGUAGGAGGGGGUCCAGAAGACCCCAAAGGUGGGGAUAUGUGGGUUGGGAGCCAGAGAGGAUGAAGAGGAUGAAGUCGACCCCAAAAGACGUCUCCAUGUUGAUUAUUGGGGUUGGGGGGACACUGCGAGGGGUCUGACCCCAAAAUCAGUGGGGUUGGGGUUGGGGAGGGGGCCGGAAGACCCCAAAGGUGGGGAUGUGUGGGUUGGGAGCCAGAGAGGACACCACGAUGAGUCCGACCCCAAAAGACCCCAAAAGUUCCCCCCAGUUUUGCCUUUUUUCCUCUCCCAUUUCCUCCCUUUUUCCUCUCCCAUUUCCUCCCUUUUUCCUCUCCCAUUUCCUCCCUUUUUCCUCUCCCAUUUCCUCCCUUUUCCCCUUCCAUUUCUCCCUUUCCCCCCCCCAAUUUUGCCUUUUU